ensembl:lncRNA
AGUGGGUAAGCUUGAAUGGUGAGUUUGAUGGUUAGUUGAGGGUGAAACUGUCACUUCACAAUAUCCUGAAGACUGAGUUGGUUGUUCUUGUUGGAUUAGAGCAUGUUCUGAGGAUUGAGUUGGCAUUUCCAGCUCAGAAGGCUGAGUUGGCUGUUCCUACUCACUGAGAAGAGGUUCCCCCUCUCCAAUAUACUCUGCUUAAUGCAUCAGACUUCUGCUGGGUCAGAGAAGAUUCUAUCUCCUUGGUAGGCUCUGAAGUUACGGUAAGUGCCACAUCCACAGGUCUAACUCUAUCAGUUGGCAAGCAAUAAUGGUGCUCUGCAUUCUGAGUUGGCUGGACUGUCACUUGGUGAACUGGUGGAGUUUCAACUAUAUUCUCAAUAGCAGACUCUGCAGCCUCAAGUGGAGCCUCUGGCUCAGUUGGAGGCGUGGCUUCCUCGGGGAGCUCUGCGGGUGUAACAAAGGCUUCUGGAUGGUUUCCAGGACCUAAUCCUACCUCCUCAGGAGACUCAGAAGGUUGAGCUGGCUGCUCUAGUUCAAUAGGAAAAGACUCAUCUUCCAGAAGAGGGCCUGGAUGCUGUGAUGGGACAUCCUGCUGGAUUGGAGAAGGCUGCUCCUCAUCUUCCUCAGCUUCCUGUGGAGGCUGAAUUUGGGAUUCCAGAUCACUUACAGAUGAGUCAGCCUCCCCAGGAGAUGCACCAAGUUCAGCUGACUGCUGCUCCAGGCUAGGAAAUUGUCCAGCUUUGCACAAGAGGACCUGAGUCUGGGUUGGAGUCUCCGCCUGAACUGGAGACAUCUCAACCUCAUUAAAAGGUUCAGAAAUUAUUGUCACUGCCACAUCUACAGGUGUGGCUGUAAUCGUGGGAAGAGUAGAAUGGUGAAGUUGAUGCUGACUGGGAUGUGGAGCUGUUGCUGCUGGAGUUUCUAUUAUAUUCUGCAUGGAGGAUUCUAGAGUUGGAACUGUAGCCCCUUGCUCAACUGGAGGAUUGACUUCUUCAUAGGGCUUUGUAGGUAGAGCUGGAACUUCUAGCUGGCUACCAGAAGUUUCAAGGUCUUUGGGAAGCUCUAAAAUCUCAGAUGGGGCCUCUUGUUGGGUUGAUGAAGGUACCAGCUCCUCAGAGAACUCUGGGUUUGUAGCUUCAAUCUCUUGUCGGGAUAAAGAAGGUUCUAACUCCCCAGAGAGCUCUGGGUUUGGAGUUGUGGUGUCUUGUUGAGAUAAUGAAGGUUCUAACUCUUCAGAGAGCUCUGGAGUUGGAGAUGCAGACUCCUGUUGGAUUAAUGGAGGGCUACCUCCUCAGGACCCUCUGAAAGCUGGGCUGGGGCCGCUUGUUGGAUUAAUGAAGGUCCUACCUCCUCUGGACUCUCUGGAAGAUGGCCCCGGGCCUGCUGCUGGCUCAAAGUAUGUUGAGUGUCCUUAUCUGCUUCUGAAAUCACUGUGACCUCCAGAUCCACAAGAUUCACUGUGACAUUUGGCAAGUUUGAGUGCUGGGCUUCAUUUCUAUCUAGAACUGGAGCAUUUAUUUCAGGCUGUUGUACUACUGCAGCCCCCUCAGAAGCAAACUGACAAACUGGUUCUCCCUUCUGCUUAUCUUCCUGAGGGAGCUGUGGGAGAUGAUCUGGACCUUCUUGGACCAAACCAAGAUUCUCUGAAUUUUGAUUUUGUGCCUCCAGCUGGUAUUCCGGAGGUUCAACCUGCUCCAGAGGCUCUGGAAACUCCUUUCUGUUUCCUUGGGAUUGCAGAGCUUCCCCGGUGGAGUCAUUUUGUUGGUCAGAUGCUGAUGUGGAAGAGUGAACUGAUCUGACUCUGGGUGCGGCUGCACAGAGGUAUCUGCAUCUUGGAAUGAAAGAAAACUGUCAGCAACUCCCAGGGUGUGGAGAACAUGUGUGUGUGUGGGGGGGCAGAGGACCCCAGGUAAUCAAGCCCCAUGCACCUGCCUGGGAUUUGUAUGCUUGUGGAGAUUUGGGCGGAUUCUCAGAUGGGUGCCUAGACCAGAGCUUGGCUGGCACCUGAAACUCUGAAGUCAACCGAACUGGGUUCUGGACUCAUUCGGCAAUGGGAUCCGCCUGGGUCAUCAUCACCAGCAAAGCUUGUUCCAUGAGAAGACUUGAGGCUCAGAAGCAGAAGCCCAGUGGAGUCAUGACAUGUUGUAAGGACAUGGCAUGCAGGAUGGAGGCGAUCCACAGUGCUGUAGUGCUCUGGCAGGGGGUGGGGGACGGAAAUAAACUGCAGGAAAGGCCCCUGACCUCAGGGAGCCUUGGCAACUGUGGCCGCCUUGCCCCGCCCUUUAUGACAGAACUCCCUUGUUACCAAGUUACUAAGUGGAUUCUACACUAUGAAUAGAACCGUCUGCGUGACAGGGCCCAAGUUUCCUCAGGCUGAAAACAACACAGUUUUCUUUGGGGUCUACCAUAACCCGGAUUUAGGUCUCAGUCCGGGUGGUCCUUACAGCAGCCCUUUGUUUUUGUGGGGCAGAGAUUCAAAAGACAGUAUCCAGGCAGAGCGGGGUGUGGACUCAAAAGUGCCUGCCCAGGUCCAGACUCUCUAACUCCUCAUUUUCAAUCACAAACAAUCCCAAGUUAUAAACAUUAAAAUAGACCAAAAGAUUGUUGGUGUUUUGGAAUAAAGAAUAAAUUUGUAGGUAUGUUCAAAGUAUGUCCUUCCCACCCCAAAGCAAGAUAUUUAAGACCUUCUUUUUCCAAUACACACUGAUAUGUUUUCAUGUUAGUUAAAUGGUAUGUUUUUUAGGAGGAACAUAUGUCCAGCCAUUAUGCUACAGAUUCAAAUAUUCUAAAUUUUGCUUCAAAAGAAGCUGAGUUACUAUGUAAAGGAUUUUCGUGUGUAGUUAUAGUAAUCAGGGAAGUAGGGGAUAAAGUCAGGGUCCUCAUGAGUGUGACAAAGGUUCUCUCACCUUAGGUGACAAGGGGUCCAGACAGUCAAUGGCAACCAAAGUCACUACAGAGCAGUGGUUUCUGGAUCCUUUGUCUAGCAAAGUCCAUGGAUGAAUUUCAUGGACAACAGGAAGAUGGAUUUUUAGAAAAGACUUUAUCAUAGGUUCAUAGGUGAGAGCUUAAGAUUUAAGAAGCCACCCAAAUACACAUGUGCACACACAAAGAGAUACAUACACCAAUGAAUACAUCUUGAUAUACACUGAGCUGAAAUCGGGAAUUUAGUUGAAGAGAGGGAGGAAUGAAGAGCGAAGGGGUUGGAGAAGGUUGGAGAAACCCCACAGGAACAGUUGGCCUGAACAAGGGAGAGCACAUCGACCCCAGAUGCUGUCGGGGAGGCCAGUACAAGACUGAUCCAGACCCCUGAACAUGGAUGUCAAUAAGGAGGCCUCUGAACUCCAGGGAGGCCUCUGAACUCCAGGGAGCCUUUGGUGGUGGAGUAGUAUUUUUCCCUGUGCAAGAAGGGACUUUGAGAGCCCAUCCCACGUGAAGGGUUACACUCUGGCCCUGGACACAUGGGGAAGGGCCCAGGACCAGCACAGGAAGAUUUGGUGGACUUUGCAGAGCCCCCGUUGAGGGCCCUACCCUGCCUGGGGAGUGGU